rnacentral:rRNA from 1 species
GAUGAACGCUGGCGGCGUGCCUAAUACAUGCAAGUCGAGCGAACAGACGAGGAGCUUGCUCCUCUGACGUUAGCGGCGGACGGGUGAGUAACACGUGGAUAACCUACCUAUAAGACUGGGAUAACUUCGGGAAACCGGAGCUAAUACCGGAUAAUAUAUUGAACCGCAUGGUUCAAUAGUGAAAGACGGUUUUGCUGUCACUUAUAGAUGGAUCCGCGCCGCAUUAGCUAGUUGGUAAGGUAACGGCUUACCAAGGCGACGAUGCGUAGCCGACCGGAGAGGGUGAUCGGCCACACGGGAACUGAGACACGGUCCAGACUCCUACGGGAGGCAGCAGUAGGGAAUCUUCCGCAAUGGGCGAAAGCCUGACGGAGCAACGCCGCGUGAGUGAUGAAGGUCUUCGGAUCGUAAAACUCUGUUAUUAGGGAAGAACAAAUGUGUAAGUAACUAUGCACGUCUUGACGGUACCUAAUCAGAAAGCCACGGCUAACUACGU